rnacentral:rRNA from 1 species
UACGUAGGGAGCAAGCGUUGCGUCGGUAUUUACGUGGGACGGUAAAGGGCGCGUAGGCGGCGCGGUAAGUCACUUGUAGAAAUCUCUGAGCUUAACUCAGAACGGCCAAGUGAUACUGCAGUGCUAGAGUGCAGAAGGGGCAAUCGGAAUUCUUGGUGUAGCGGUGAAAUGCGUAGAUAUCAAGAGGAACACCUGAGGUGAAGACGGGUUGCUAGGCUGACACUGGCGCUGAGGCGCGAAAGCUA